rnacentral:rRNA from 1 species
UACGGAGGGUGCAAGCGUUAUCCGGAUUUACUGGGUUUAAAGGGUGCGUAGGUGGGUUGGUAAGUCAGUGGUGAAAUACUUUCGCUUAACGAAGGAACUGCCAUUGAUACUACCAGUCUUGAAUACAGUGGAGGUAGGCGGAAUGCGUCAUGUAGCGGUGAAAUGCUUAGAUAUGACGCAGAACACCAAUUGCGAAGGCAGCUCGCUACACAUAUAUUGACUCUGAGGCACGAAAGCGUGGGGAUCAAACAGG